rnacentral:tRNA from 2 species
CGGGUUGUACACCACGCAGUCGGGUUUCAGCGCCAGCAGCGCGUCGACGUCGUCGGUCGCGGUGACACCGAGCGGUUCGAUGCCGCACAACUCGCC